AUACGUAGGGGGCGAGCGUUAUCCGGAAUUACUGGGUGUAAAGGGUGUGCAGGCGGCAUUGCAAGUUUGAUGUGAAACCCCGGGGCUUAACUCCGGGCAUGCAUCGAAAACUACAGAGCUAGAGUACAGGAGAGGAAAGCGGAAUUCAUAGUGUAACGGUGAAAUGUGUAGAUAUUAGGAAGAACACCAGUGGCGAAGGCGGCUUUCUGGACUGAAACUGACGCUGAGACACGAAAGCGUGGGGAGCAAACAGGAUUAGAUACCCUGGUAGUCCACGCUGUAAACGAUGAAUACUAGGUGUCGGGGCCGUAGGCCUCGGUGCCGCAGUUAACGCAAUAAGUAUUCCACCUGGGGAGUACGGCCGCAAGGCUGAAACUCAAAGGAAUUGACGGGG
rnacentral:rRNA from 1 species